rnacentral:rRNA from 1 species
AUGCUGGGCUGCUUCUCCCGGCUCCGGCGGCCGGCCUCUGCCGCGGCGGGGGCGCCGGCCCCCGUGCAGCCGCCCGACGAGGCGUCCACGUCGGCCGCGUCGACCUCCACCCCGGCGACCUCCCCGCGCUCGUCCUCCUCUUCCGCCCGCUUCAAGAACGCGUGCCUCCGGGACGGCGGCAGGGGCGGGGACGCCGACGUCGCGAAGGAGUGCCCGCCGCUGUCGCCCGCGCUCGCCGUGGACUCCGGGCUGUCGUCGGCCAUCGCGUCCCGGCGGUUCUUCCUCGCCUCCCCGGGCCGGUCCAACUCCAUCGUGGACUCGUCGGCGGCGCACGCGGCCGCCGUGCUGGGCGUGGGCGCGGCCGGGGUGGCGGUGCCGACCUACUCCCCGGACCCGCACGCCGACUUCCUGCGGUCCAUGGAGGAGAUGUCGGCGGCGCUGCGGCUGGACGCGCGGCGGCGCGGCGACAGGGCGCGCCUCCACGAGCUGCUGCUCUGCUACCUGGCGCUCAACGACAAGCGCGCGCACCGGUACGUCGUCAGCGCCUUCACCGACCUCCUCCUCCGCCUCACCGCCACCGACGACCUCGACGCCGACGACGAGCAGCACGGCAGCAUGUAG